rnacentral:lncRNA from 1 species
CCCAGACCAAAGCCAUGAAGUCACCCCAAGUUCAAACCCAAAAUGCAAUUUGCAGUGGUUAGAAAUGACAAAGGAUGGGUGGUAGGAUCCAGAGAAAAAACAGUGAAACCCGAUGGACCUUAAAUAGAUCUGAGGGCACUGAUUUGAUUAUUUUGGGUGAAAUCUUUUAAGAAAAUCUUGUCAGAUUCUUCACAGAAAAUUUGGUAAAGCCUAUAUUUCAUCGCCAGCCUAGCAAAGAUACCAUGAAAGGAUUUGAGCGUUUUUUUAUGUGAAUCCAAAGAUGACAUUUACAAAAGGUGGAGAAGCAGUUCCCUACUGAGGGACGUGGAUACAAAAAGCAGAUGACACAACACAUCCCAUAGAGUUCCCAGGGAAGAAUGAACCCAGAUUCUUGACCUGCAGAGGUGGCGUACUGGCUGGAGAAAUCUCUGGCUGGCGACCGUGCUAUUCUGUCUGUCCACCUAACUGUGGGCUCCCAGAUCACCACUGCCAUGGGCAGGGGGCCGUGGGGUGGGCCUGCUUGGGGUGACAGGCUAGCUGUGCUCCCAUAGCAGAGGUGGGAGAAGGGAAUCACAUCUGGUGAGCAGCUAUGUCGUGCCAGGCACUGUGCUGUGUAUUGCACACAUCUCAAACCUUGUGACAAAUGUGUAAGAUAUUUUUUAUGUAUUACAAAUGAAGGAACUGGGCUCAGAAAAGCUCCAUUAUUUGCCCAAAUUGCAGCAGUAAUGCAGGAAUUUGAAUCCACAUUAAUCUGACUCCACAACCCAUGUUCUUUCACUGAAUUCCCAUAUCCUUGUUCCCCCUACUGUCCUCACUGGUCAAGGUGAGCUUGGUCUUCCACAAACAGGCUAGAAAAGUAUGCUUACUUAUCUUUAGCUUUAUGCUUUUAAACUAAUUCUUAAAAAUCUUCUCUGGAUAAGUCAAAGACAAUGGGAAUGUGUAUUUCUAAUACAUUAAUUAUAAUACAUUACCGGUUUACACAAUGCCAUCACCUUGUCAUUUUCUUUGACACAACGUCCCCCUCCCCUCUAGUUUAUAAAUGAGGACAUUGAGGCACAAAGUGGGUAAGUGACUUGCCCAAGGGGGAGAUUUGUCCAAUCAUAAAGAUGGGCCUGAACUUUUUCUACUUUGCAUUCUUACUUGAAAGGCAGGAAACAUAUGCUCAAGAGGGAGAUCUCACGAAAUUUCAUGUCAUAUAGUGCUCUCGCUAAUUUAAUCCUGUCAUUCCUGGUUAUAU